CUUUCUCCGCCGGCGACCGGCGCACGGGUGAGUAACACGUAUGCAACCUGCCCCUGUCAGGGGGACAACCCGCCGAAAGGCGGGCUAAACCCGCGUACAUGCCACCGGGGCAUCCCGGAGGCAGGAAAGGCUUCGGCCGGACAGGGAUGGGCAUGCGGCGCAUUAGGCAGUAGGCGGGGUAACGGCCCACCUAACCGACGAUGCGUAGGGGUUCUGAGAGGAAGGUCCCCCACACUGGUACUGAGACACGGCCCAGACUCCUACGGGAGGCAGCAG
rnacentral:rRNA from 1 species